rnacentral:ncRNA from 1 species
UAACGAUAUACUACUCCCUGUAAACCGAGACCUCUAGGGAGUCUAAAUUACGUCUCUAAUACCUUCGCCUGAGGGUGGUGAAGGAAUAUUUACUUCA